UAACACAUGCAAGUCGAGCGGUAACAGAGAGUAGCUUGCUACUUUGCUGACGAGCGGCGGACGGGUGAGUAAUGCUUGGGAACAUGCCUUGAGGUGGGGGACAACAGUUGGAAACGACUGCUAAUACCGCAUAAUGUCUACGGACCAAAGGGGGCUUCGGCUCUCGCCUUUAGAUUGGGCCCAAGUGGGAUUAGCUAGUUGGUGAGGUAAUGGCUCACCAAGGCGACGAUCCCUAGCUGGUUUGAGAGGAUGAUCAGCCACACUGGGACUGAGACACGGCCCAGACUCCUACGGGAGGCAGCAGUGGGGAAUAUUGCACAAUGGGCGCAAGCCUGAUGCAGCCAUGCCGCGUGUGUGAAGAAGGGCUCCGGGUUGUAAAGCACUUUCAGUCAGGAGGAAAGGUUAGUAGUUAAUACCUGCUAGCUGUGACGUUACUGACAGAAGAAGCACCGGCUAACUCCGUGCCAGCAGCCGCGGUAAUACGGAGGGUGCGAGCGUUAAUCGGAAUUACUGGGCGUAAAGCGUACGCAGGCGGUUUGUUAAGCGAGAUGUGGAAGCCCUGGGCUCAACCUGGGAACUGCAUUUCGAGCUGGCAAACUAGAGUGUGAUAGAGGGUGGUAGAAUUUCAGGUGUAGCGGUGAAAUGCGUAGAGAUCUGAAGGAAUACCGAUGGCGAAGGCAGCCACCUGGGUCAACACUGACGCUCAUGUACGAAAGCGUGGGGAGCAAACGGGAUUAGAUACCCCGGUAGUCCACGCCGUAAACGAUGUCUACUAGAAGCUCGGGUCCUCGGACUUGUUUUUCAAAGCUAACGCAUUAAGUAGACCGCCUGGGGAGUACGGCCGCAAGGUUAAAACUCAAAUGAAUUGACGGGGGCCCGCACAAGCGGUGGAGCAUGUGGUUUAAUUCGAUGCAACGCGAAGAACCUUACCUACACUUGACAUACAGAGAACUUACCUGAGAUGGUUUGGUGCCUUCGGGAACUCUGAUACAGGUGCUGCAUGGCUGUCGUCAGCUCGUGUUGUGAGAUGUUGGGUUUAGUCCCGCAACGAACGCAACCCCUAUCCUUAGUUGCUAGCAGGGUAAUGCUGAGAACUCUAAGGAGACUGCCGGUGAUAAACCGGAGGAAGGUGGGGACGACGUCAAGUCAUCAUGGCCCUUACGUGUAGGGCUACACACGUGCUACAAUGGCGCAUACAGAGUGCUGCGAACCUGCGAAGGUAAGCGAAUCACUUAAAGUGCGUCGUAGUCCGGAUUGGAGUCUGCAACUCGACUCCAUGAAGUCGGAAUCGCUAGUAAUCGCGUAUCAGAAUGACGCGGUGAAUACGUUCCCGGGCCUUGUACACACCGCCCGUCACACCAUGGGAGUGGGUUGCUCCAGAAGUAGAUAGUCUAACCCUCGGGAGGACGUUUACCACGGAGUGAUUCAUGACUGGGGUG
rnacentral:rRNA from 1 species